UUCACUAGUGAUUAGAGUUUGAUCCUGGCUCAGGACGAACGCUGGCGGCGUGCUUAACACAUGCAAGUGGAGCGACGAACCAGGCUUCGGCCUGGGGCAGAGCCGCGAACGGGUGAGUAACACGUGGGUAACGUGCCCCGAUGACUGGGACAACCCGGGGAAACCCGGGCUAAUACCGGAUGUGCCCUCCUCACACCAGUGAGACGGGGAGAGGAAGCUUCGGCCUCCGCAUCGGGAUCGGCCCGCGGCCCAUUAGCUUGUUGGUGAGGUAAAGGCUCACCAAGGCCGCGAUGGGUAGCUGGUCUGAGAGGACGAUCAGCCACACUGGGACUGAGACACGGCCCAGACUCCUACGGGAGGCAGCAGCGGGGAAUCUUGCUCAAUGCGCGACAGCGUGACGCAGCAACGCCGCGUGGGGGAAGAAGGCCUUCGGGUUGUAAACCCCUUUCAGGAGGGACGAAGCCCGGGCCGUUAAUAGCGGUCCCGGGUGACGGUACCUCCACAAGAAGCCCCGGCUAACUACGUGCCAGCAGCCGCGGUAAUACGUAGGGGGCAAGCGUUGUCCGGAAUCAUUGGGCGUAAAGAGCGUGUAGGCGGUCCGGUCAGUCGGUUGUGAAAGUCAAGGGCUCAACCCUUGAAUGCCGGCCGAUACUGCCGGGCUAGAGUCCGGAAGAGGUGAGUGGAAUUCCUGGUGUAGCGGUGAAAUGCGCAGAUAUCAUGAGGAACACCGAUGGCGAAAGCAGCUCACUGGGGCGGUACUGACGCUGAGACGCGAAAGCGUGGGGAGCAACAGGAUUAGAUACCCUGGUUAGUCCACGCCGUAAACGAUGGGCACCUAGUGUGGGAGGUGUCGACUCCUCCCGUGCCGAAGCUAACGCAUUAAGUGCCCCGCCUGGGGAGUACGGCGCAAGGCUAAACUCAAAGGAAUUGACGGGGGCCCGCCACAGCAGCGGAGCAUGUGGUUCAUUCGACGCAACGCGAAAACCCUUACCUGGG
rnacentral:rRNA from 1 species